ensembl:lncRNA
GGGAGAUGGCAGAGCAUGAACCUUCAGGGGCUGGAAUGCCUGCCUGAUUGGGAAGGGAAGCCACAUCACCAGAUGAUACAGAGGAGUGUCUACAAAUCUGUCCAGACUUUUAAAAUAUUAACUUAGUAGCAGUUGUAAGGUUUACAGAAACUUCAAGGCUCUCACUGCUAUGAAGUUAAGUAUAGUUUAAACAGCCUAAGAUAGCCUGGAAGAAUUAUCCUAAGAUAAAGAAAUGCUAUUAAAAAGUUAGAUGUAAUUGAAGAGAAGUGUUACAAAUUUCUGUUCAGGGUUUUUGGAGGAGGAAUGAGUCAUUUGUGCUGGGGUAAUCAGGAUAAAUUAAUGCCAGCUGAAGUUUAGAAGAGGCGAAACAGGUUGAGAAAGCAAGGAAAACGUGCACUGUCUUUUCAAUUAAUUUUUGUUAGCACCUGCACUGAGCCUUCGUGUUCUUGAUACACCCUUGGGGGCCAGGCCAAGCCUUCAGGAAAAUAAGAAGCUGUAUGUAUGAUACAGUACAUGAAAAAACUGGUCUCUCUGCGCAUUGCCCUCUAUAGCUAUCUCUGGUUCUUCUGUCUAAAAGAACAGAACUUUGUUGUGCAUGCUCAGUCGCUUCAUCGGACACAACUGAGACGACUUCACUUUCACUUUACUUGUCUUAUAGUCACAAGAGAGCUACUGUUGCUCCACAUAUUGCAUCUGCAUUCAAACAAUGGGGUGGAAGAAGGAUCUGGUAUUAGCCACACUGUCUUUGCCUUUGUAUCAGGAAGGCAAAAGCAUUCUCAGAUGCACCCAUCAGAAACCACUUCAUUUUCGUUGGUCAGAAUGGUGUCACUUGGCCUUUUCAGUAAAAACCUUCAUUCCAUACUCACAACAUUUUCUUUUUCUUUCCUUCUUUUUAAGGAAGAGUCUGGAUGUCACUUUUGUGUCAGUGUAAUACAUAAUAGGAAGAACAUAUACAGAAAGAGGUCAGAUACUGAGGGGACCUUGAGAACUCAAGACUUUUGUAAGUUUCUGAAGUCUUUUUGAAAGAUUUUUGGACUUCAUCAGAGUAUAAAUUUGGAGUCUGAGCCCCUGUUAUUUAGAUCUCAGGGAUCAGAAGAACCUGAUUCAAAAUCAGAAUGAUGACCUUGGUGCUCAGGUUGAAAGGAACAGGGCCAUUCUCCCUCUGCAAUAGAAAGAUGAUAAGAUGAUUAUUUUUGAGAAUAAGAGAUUAAAGGAAAACAGGGGACUUUGUACCUGAUAAUCUUGAUCUUCUCUGGGAGUCAUAAAAAUGGCCUGCCAAGAUUAUAGUGAGUGUGAAACGGUGACUAGAAACUGGUGAGGGAUUUUAGAAGUUUCAUUAUUUCAAGUAUUCAUAAAGGUGGGCAGUAAUUGAACAGAACAGAUGGUGGAGCAGGAAGGCAGAUCCCCAUUUGACAUCAAGUUGCCUGAUGUUGCCGAAUCCUAAAUAAUCACCGUCUUUGCUUUUCUCCAGUAUCAUUUUAAGUGACCUGACUUAUAAUGUAAAAAGUGAUAAUCAUCCUGUACUUGGUUGGUGGGAAGUUUGUUGGUUUUGCUCAUAGUGGCAACAUCCAGACUGAAUGGUGUGUGUGUGUAUGUGUGUUUAAUGAAGAGUCAGUAGCCCGGGUGAAUAG